CCUACGGGAGGCAGCAGUCGUGAAUAUUGCGCAAUGGAGGAAACUCUGACGCAGUGACGCCGCGUGCAGGAAGAAGGUUUUCGGAUUGUAAACUGCUUUUGACAGGGAAGAAAAAAGACAGUACCGGUAGAAUAAGCUACGGCUAACUACGUGCCAGCAGCCGCGGUAAUACGUAGGGAGCAAGCGUUAUCCGGAUUUAUUGGGUGUAAAGGGUGCGUAGUCGGGGAAGAAAGUUAGUUGGGAAAUCCCGCGGCUUAACUGAGGAACUGCAACUAAAACUCCUUCCCUUGAGUGCUGGAGAGGAAGGUGGAAUGCAUGGUGUAGCGGUGAAAUGCGUAGAGAUUAGGAGGAACACCGGUGGCGAAGGCGGCUUUCUGGACAGUAACUGACGUUGAGGCACGAAAGUGUGGGGAGCAAACAGGAUUAGAUACCCCAGUAGUC
rnacentral:rRNA from 1 species